rnacentral:rRNA from 1 species
GACGAACGCUGGCGGCGUGCUUAACACAUGCAAGUCGAACGAAGUGGCGAAAGGGUGAGUAACGCGUAAUCAACCUGCCCUUCAGAGGGGGACAACAGUUGGAAACGACUGCUAAUACCGCAUACUGAAGUAGGGGAUUGCGUCUGAUUAGUUAGUUGGGGGGGUAACGGCCCACCAAGGCGAGGAUCAGGAGCCGGUCUGAGAGGAGGAACGGCCAAAUGGGGACUUAGACAAGGCCCAGACCUCUACGGGAGGCAGCAGGGGGGAAUCUUCCGCAAUGGACGAAAGUCUGACGGAGCAACGCCGCGUGAGUGAUGACGGCCUUCGGGUUGUAAAGCUCUGUUAAUCGGGACGCGGUACCGGAAUAGAAAGCCACGGCUAACUACGUGCCAGCAGCCGCGGUAAUAC